UUCCUGGUGGUCUAAUGGCUAAGACUCUGUGCUCCCAAUGCAGGGGGCCCAGGUUUGAACCCUGGUCAGAGAA
rnacentral:tRNA from 1 species